rnacentral:lncRNA from 1 species
CUGUUAUUGUUGUAAUCGUAGACAUACGUCCUUCUGCUGUAACCUCGGCCAUGAUGAUGAUGGUAAGAGAUACUCUGUUAAAAAGGUCAAGAUCUACAGUGGCAGCUUAGAUAAUACCUCCGGGUUGCUCGCUCUUGCAGGAGCUGCAGAAUGAACAGGAGGGAGGUCCUCCACUUUUUCUAAUUCUGUUCGUUCUUCUUUUGUGCCCCUCUGAACUUUCUCUUUCCUCUGC